rnacentral:ncRNA from 2 species
CUCGCGCGAUCAGGAGAGCGCUCCCCCGUGGAGCCGCCGAAGGCGCAGGCGGUCGUUGCAACGGCCCUGAACGCUCAGGCAAAAGGACUGAUGACCACCA